rnacentral:misc_RNA from 1 species
UAAUAAGUGUUUUAUGGCACUUUUUAAAUCCAUAUCCACCUUGUGUGCAAUGUCAGUCGAUUCUUUUCGUCAAUGAAAAGGAUCGACCAAACAUCAACCUUAUUCUAAUUGAACUCUUUGUCUGAAAAAUAUUAUGAAUAAACUAAUUCAAAAUA